UUGCAGUCACAUCAUAUUUAAACACUGGUUCCUGUGCGAUCACCGAAGUUAAGCAACGUCGAGCCUGAUCAGUACUUAAAUGGGUGACCGCUUACGAAUGUCAGGUGGUGUAAG